rnacentral:rRNA from 1 species
GACGAACGCUGGCGGCGUGCUUAACACAUGCAAGUCGAACGGAAAGGCCCUGCUUUCGUGCUGUGCCCGAGUGGCGAACGGGUGAGUAUCCCGUGAGUAAACUGCCCUUGCCUCUGGGAUAACUUCAGGAAACUGGGGCUAAUACCGGUUAGGAGCUCCUGCUGCAUGGUGGGGGUUGGAAAGUUUCGGCGGUAGUGGAUGGACUGGCGGCUUACCAGCUUGUUGAUGGAGUAGUGGCUUACUAAGGCUUUGACGGGUAGCCGGCCUGUGAGGGUGACCGACCACAUUACGACUCAGUUACGGCCCAGACCCCUGCGGGAGGCUGCGAAGGGGAAUAUUGCACGAUAAGCGGAAGCCUGAUGCAGCAACACCGCGUGCGGGAUAACGGCCUUCGGGUAGUAUACCGCAAUAGCCUGUGACGGUGCGUGAGUGACGGUAAGGGGUAAAGAAGCACCGGCUAACUACGUG